rnacentral:rRNA from 1 species
AGACCGCUGAACUUAAGCAUAUCAAUAAGCGGAGGAAAAGAAACCAACAGGGAUUGCCCUAGUAACGGCGAGUGAAGCGGCAACAGCUCAAAUUUGAAAUCUGGCUCUUUUAGAGUCCGAGUUGUAAUUUGCAGAGGGCGCUUUGGCUUUGGCAGCGGUCCAAGUUCCUUGGAACAGGACGUCACAGAGGGUGAGAAUCCCGUACGUGGUCGCUGGCUAUUGCCGUGUAAAGCCCCUUCGACGAGUCGAGUUGUUUGGGAAUGCAGCUCUAAAUGGGAGGUACAUUUCUUCUAAAGCUAAAUAUUGGCCAGAGACCGAUAGCGCACAAGUAGAGUGAUCGAAAGAUGAAAAGCACUUUGGAAAGAGAGUCAAACAGCACGUGAAAUUGUUGAAAGGGAAGCGCUUGCAGCCAGACUUGCUUACAGUUGCUCAUCCGGGUUUCUACCCGGUGCACUCUUCUGUAGGCAGGCCAGCAUCAGUUUGGGCGGUAGGAUAAAGGUCUCUGUCACGUACCUCCUUUCGGGGAGGCCUUAUAGGGGAGACGACAUACUACCAGCCUGGACUGAGGUCCGCGCAUCUGCUAGGAUGCUGGCGUAAUGGCUGUAAGCGGCCCGUCUUGAAACACGGACCAAGGAGUCUAACAUCUAUGCGAGUGUUUGGGUGUCAAGCCCGAGCGCGUAAUGAAAGUGAACGGAGGUGGGAACCCGCAAGGGUGCACCAUCGACCGAUCCUGAUGUCUUCGGAAGGAUUUGAGUAAGAGCAUGGCUGUUGGGACCCGAAAGAUGGUGAACUAUGCUUGAAUAGGGUGAAGCCAGAGGAAACUCUGGUGGAGGCUCGCAGCGGUUCUGACGUGCAAAUCGAUCGUCAAAUUUGGGCAUAGGGGCGAAAGACUAAUCGA